rnacentral:rRNA from 1 species
UGAAUACGAGAUGCUACGGCAUUGAAGCAGUGUAUGUCAGACUUCCAAGAAAAGCUCGCAAUGUCAUAAACAAUUAAUGCCUGUACCAUAACCGACACAGGUGGGUAGGUAGAGUAUACUAAGGGGCGCGAGAUAACUCUCUCUAAGGAACUCGGCAAAAUGACUCCGUAACUUCGGGAGGAGGAGUGCCUUAUUUUAUAAGGUUGCAAUAACAAGAUCCAAGCAACUGUUUACCAAAAACACAGGUCUCCGCUAAGUCGUAAGACGAUGUAUGGGGGCUGACGCCUGCCCAGUGCCAGAAGGUUAAAGAAGUCGGUUAGCAUUGCGAAGCUGAUGACUGAAGCCCUGGUGAACGGCGGCCGUAACAAUAACGGUCCUAAGGUAGCGAAAUUCCUUGUCGGGUAAGUUCCGACCCGCACGAAAGGCGUAAUGAUUUGGAUACUGUCUCGGAGAGGGGCUCGGUGAAAUAGACUUGUCUGUGAAGAUGCGGACUACCUGCACCUGGACAGAAAGACCCUAUGAAGCUUUACUGUAACUUGAGAUUGAAAUUGGACUUUAUUUGCGCAGUAUAGGUGGGAGACGUUGAAAGUAUUCUUGCGGGAAUAUUCGAGUCAUCAGUGAGAUACCACUCUUGUAAUGUUAGAUUUCUAACUUUGUAUCAUUAUCUGGUCAAAGGACAGUCUCAGGCGGGCAGUUUGACUGGGGCGGUCGCCUCCUAAACGGUAACGGAGGCGCACAAAGGUUUCCUCUGAACGUGUAGAAAUCGUAUCUAGAGUGUAAAGGCAUAAGGAAGCUUGACUGUGAGACCUACAAGUCGAGCAGGGACGAAAGUCGGUCUUAGUGAUCUGACGGUGCUGAGUGGAAAGGCCGUCACUCAACGGAUAAAAGUUACUCUAGGAUAACAGGCUGAUCUCCCCCAAGAGUUCACAUCGACGGGGAGGUUUGGCACCUCGAUGUCGGCUCAUCGCAUCCUGGGGCGGUAGUACGUCCCAAGGGUUGGGCUGUUCGCCCAUGAAAGCGGUACGCGAGCUGGGUUCAGAACGUCGUGAGACAGUUCGGUCCAUAUCCGGUGUAGGCGUUAGAAUAUUGAGAGGAUCCUUCUUUAGUACGAGAGGACCGAGAAGGACAUACCUCUGGUGUACCAGUUAUCGUGCCAACGGUAAACGCUGGGUAGCUAUGUAUGGAGAGGAUAACCGCUGAAAGCAUCUAAGUGGGAAGCCCACUUCAAGAUAAGUAUUCUCAUG